rnacentral:rRNA from 1 species
UAAGACGUAGGGGGCCAGCGUUGUUCGGAAUUACUGGGUGUAAAGGGUUCGUAGGCGGUGCGGCAAGUUGGGAGUGAAAUCUCUGGGCUUAACCCAGAGGCUGCUUCCAAAACUGCUGUGCUUGAGUGUGGGAGAGGCGCGUGGAAUUGCAGGUGUAGCGGUGAAAUGCGUAGAUAUCUGCAGGAACACCCGUGGCGAAAGCGGCGCGCUGGACCACUACUGACGCUGAGGAACGAAAGCUAGGGGAGCAAACAGGAUUAGAUACCCUGGUAGUCCUAGCCCUAAACGAUCAGGACUUGGGGUGCCACCCGUUCGGGUGUCGUCCCGGAGCUAACGCGUUAAGUCCUGCACCUGGGGAGUACGGUCGCAAGACUG